rnacentral:rRNA from 1 species
CAGAGGGUGCGAGCGUUAAUCGGAAUUACUGGGCGUAAAGCGAGUGUAGGUGGCUCAUUAAGUCACAUGUGAAAUCCCCGGGCGUUAACCUGGAACGUGCAUGUGAUACUGGUGGUGCUAGAAUAUGUGAGAGGGAAGUAGAAUUCCAGGUGUAGCGGUGGAAAUAGCGUAGAGAUCUGGAGGAAUACCGAUGGCGAAGGCAGCUUCCUGGCAUAAUAUUGACACUGAGAUUCGAAAGCGUGGGUAGCAAACAGGAUU